CCUACGGGAGGCAGCAGUGGGGAAUAUUGCACAAUGGGGGAAACCCUGAUGCAGCGACGCCGCGUGAGUGAAGAAGUAAUUCGUUAUGGAAAGCUCUAUCAGCAGGGGAGAAAAUGACGGUACCUGAGUAAGAAGCCCCGGCUAACUACGUGCCAGCAGCCGAGGGAAUACGUAGGGGGCAAGCGUUAUCCGGAUUUACUGGGUGUAAAGGGAGCGUAGACGGCAUUGUAAGUCUGGAGUGAAAGGCGGGGGCUCAACCCCCGGAUUGCACUGGAAACUGUACGGCUGGAGUGCAGGAGAGGUAAGUGGAAUUCCUAGUGUAGCGGUGAAAUGCGUAGAUAUUAGGAGGAACACCGGUGGCGAAGGCGGCUUACUGGACUGUAACUGACGUUGAGGCUCGAAAGCGUGGGGAGCAAACAGGAUUAGAUACCCCAGUAGUC
rnacentral:rRNA from 1 species